CACGUAGGGCGCAAGCGUUGUCCGGAAUUAUUGGGCGUAAAGAGCUCGUAGGCGGUCUGUUGCGUCCGCUGUGAAAACUCGGGGCUUAACCCCGAGCCUGCAGUGGAUACGGGCAGACUAGAGGUAGGUAGGGGAGAAUGGAAUUCCCGGUGUAGCGGUGAAAUGCGCAGAUAUCGGGAGGAACACCAACAGCGAAGGCAGAUCUCUGGGACGUUACUGACGCUGAGACGCGAAAGCGUGGGGAGCAAACAGG
rnacentral:rRNA from 1 species